UGGGGAUUAAUGGUGCGGCUCUGCGGCCGCGCAGUGAGCAUCGAUUUCCCCAUCAGCCCCGUGUGCGUUUCCUAAGGAGACGCUGCUUUGUGUUUUCAGAAACUUCAUUAAUUUUGAGCGCUGAUGUGUGAAAAUGGCAGGAGGGAACGCCACUCACAAAGCUGUCUGACCAGCCGUUCUCCCUGCGCCCAUUGUCAGUGCCACUCGCCUCUCCCCAGGACCCAGAGCACAUCCGGGCACUCCCUCAGGUGCUUCCUGAAUAGGUGAUGCAGGAGUCACACGAGGGUCUGCCUUCUGCAGGGCAGAAGGAUGGGCGUGUCCAAGAGAGGGGCCCGGUCAGAGCUGAGCCCUUCUCCUAGACUCUAGAGAGCCUCGUGUUCCCGAAAUAGUUGUGGACAUGGGCAGCCAUCAUCAGAGACAUUCUUCUUGUAAUCGUAGAUGUUUGAGGCAAAAUGAAACUCUAAAGGGUGUUGUCCCUGGGAUUUAGAAAGGCUGUCCCCUCUCACGUCAUCUCACUUGAGCCCCAGGAGCUGGACCUGCAAGAUCAGCCAAUCUCAUUUGCAACCAACACGUGCACACAUUUCAUGUUUUCUGUUCCUGCUGAGUGACAGCUGUCCCACGUGGAGGGUGCUGGACGCCACAGACGCUGGCCGUCCCCGGGGUCCUCUGCUCAAGAGAACAGCUCAGGAAACACAGUCAGACCCACGCAUCGCCACCGGGAGGGUCAGGGGCCAUGUUAAAUGCUGUCCGGGCGUUGUCAGUCAUCCAUAAACAAUUCCGUUUGUAUUAAUAAUGCAAAUAAUACCGGAGUCAGAGUAGCUGAAAUGGGCCUGGAAGGCGGUCGCUAAGCAAAGUGGACGGGCACAGUGUGUGGAGUGGCACUCGGCCAGUUGGAAAGCAGUGGGGGCCGUUCUGAGAUGGGGGUGGGGGCGGGAGUUUUGUGUUUCGGUGAGUUGGUGUGAGGCUCUCUCCAGAGGCCUCCCAAUCUGUCUGCGACUUUUUGGCAGGAGCUUUUGGAAUAAGGCCAAAGGGAUUGUCCAACUGCACGGAAAGGAAGUGAGGUGCUCGCUGUGUUCGCCGGUCUUCUUUUCUUGGGGGCCAAAGAGACUGUAGCUUUCUACAUCCUUUUACAGCAUCAUUUCUACCAGAAUGAGUUCGAAUUGCGUGGUUUGGCUGAUACUCAUUAAAUUAGGAGAACUGGCA